UAUCGGAACGUACCCUAGAGUGGGGGAUAACGUAGCGAAAGUUACGCUAAUACCGCAUACGAUCUAUGGAUGAAAGUGGGGGAUCGCAAGACCUCAUGCUCCUGGAGCGGCCGAUAUCUGAUUAGCUAGUUGGUAGGGUAAAAGCCUACCAAGGCAUCGAUCAGUAGCUGGUCUGAGAGGACGGCCAGCCACACUGGAACUGAGACACGGUCCAG
rnacentral:rRNA from 1 species